GGCUCAGUGGUCAAGGGGUAUAAUGCUUGCUUCGGGUGUGAGAGAUCCUGAGUUCAAAUCCCGGACGAUCA